GACGAACGCUGGCGGCGUGCUUAACACAUGCAAGUCGAACGGUAAGGCCCUUCGGGGUACACGAGUGGCGAACGGGUGAGUAACACGUUGGUAAUCUGCCCUGCACUUCGGGAUAAGCCUGGGAAACUGGGUCUAAUACCGGAUAUUCAGUUCCUGCCGCAUGGUGGGGGUUGGAAAGUUUUUCGGUGCAGGAUGAGCCCGCGGCCUAUCAGCUUGUUGGUGGGGUAAUGGCCUACCAAGGCGACGACGGGUAGCCGGCCUGAGAGGGUGAUCGGCCACACUGGGACUGAGACACGGCCCAGACUCCUACGGGAGGCAGCAGUGGGGAAUAUUGCACAAUGGGCGAAAGCCUGAUGCAGCGACGCCGCGUGGGGGAUGACGGUCUUCGGAUUGUAAACCCCUUUCAGUAGGGACGAAGCGCAAGUGACGGUACCUGCAGAAGAAGCACCGGCCAACUACGUG
rnacentral:rRNA from 1 species